UACGUAGGUGGCAAGCGUUGUCCGGAUUUAUUGGGCGUAAAGGGAGCGCAGGUGGUUUCUUAAGUCUGAUGUGAAAGCCCACGGCUUAACCGUGGAGGGUCAUUGGAAACUGGGGAACUUGAGUGCAGAAGAGGAAAGUGGAAUUCCAAGUGUAGCGGUGGAAUGCGUAGAGAUAUGGAGGAACACCAGUGGCGAAGGCGGCUUCCUGGUCUGUAACUGACACUGAGGCGCGAAAGCGUGGGGAGCAAACAGGAUUAGAUACCCCGGUUGUCCCUGA
rnacentral:rRNA from 1 species